rnacentral:rRNA from 1 species
CCAAUAGCGUAUAUUAAAGUUGUUGCAGUUAAAAAGCUCGUAGUUGAAUUUCGGGAUCAAUUUGCUGGUCGUGCCUUUGGUACGUACUGGUAUUAUUGGUUUCUCCUUUCUGAAGAACUGCGAUGUCAUUAAUUUGGUGUCGUAGGGAAUCAGGACUGUUACUUUGAAAAAAUUAGAGUGUUUAAAGCAGGCUUACGCUUGAAUACAUUAGCAUGGAAUAAUGAAAUAGGACGUUUGAUUCUAUUUUGAUGGUUUCUAGGAUUGACGUAAUGAUUAAUAGGGAUAGUUGGGGGCAUUAGUAUUCAAUUGUCAGAGGUGAAAUUCUUGGAUUUAUUGAAGACUAACUACUGCGAAAGCAUUUGCCAAGGAUGUUUUGAUUAAUCAAGAACGAAAGUUAGGGGAUCGAAGACGAUCAGAUACCGUCGUAGUCUUAACCAUAAACUAUGCCGACUAGGGAUCGGAUGAUGUUAAUUUUUUAAUGACUCAUUCGGCGCCUUACG